GACGAACGCUGGCGGCGUGCCUAAUACAUGCAAGUCGAACGGAGUGGCGCACGGGUGAGUAAUAUAUAGCUAACUUGCCCAUUACUAAGGGACAACAGUUGGCAACGACUGCUAAUACCUUAUAGUAAUGGAUAGGGCUAUAACGUAUCAGCUAGGUGGUAGGGUAACGGCGUACAAAGGGGAUGACGCGUAACUGGUCUGAGAGGAUGAUCAGUAACACUGGAACUGAGACACGAGCCGGACUCCUUCGGGAAGGAGCAGUAGGGUAUCUUGCUCAAUGGGCGUAACCCUGAAGCAUCAUCGGAGCGUAGAGGAUGACACUUUUCGGAGAGUAAACGCCUUUUCUUGGGAAAGCGGUACCCAAGGAAUAAGCACCGGCUAACUCCGUGCCAGCCGCCGCGGUAAUUC
rnacentral:rRNA from 1 species